rnacentral:rRNA from 1 species
ACCUUUGGUCGUGGGGCUACCCGCCGAGUUUAAGCAUAUAAAUAAGCGAGGAGAAGAAACUUACGAGGAUUCCUUUAGUAACGGGCGAAAGCGAACCGAUCACCAAAAUUUGAGAAUGGGGCGGCCGCUACUUCAAUUGUAGUCCGAGAAUCAUCAUCAGCGACGGAUCGGGCCCAAGUCCUCGAAAGGGGCGCCGGAGGGUGAGAGCCCCGUCCGUUUGGACCCCGCCGCAAGACGAGGCGCUUAUCGACGAGUCGGGUUGUUUGGGGAAUGCAGCCCCAAUCGAAAUGGUAAAUUCCGGCCCAAGGCUAAAUAAUGGGCAAGAGACCGAUAGCAAACAAGUACCGCGGACGGAAAGAUGAAAAAGGACUUUGAAAAGAGAAACAAAGUGUGCUUGAAAUUGCCGGAGGGAAGCGCGAUAAUGUGAUGCAUCUUGAUCAGAUGCGAAUGACGGUUAGUCGGUCCGUCGCUCGACUUGGGGUGCGGAUCGAUGCGGCUAGCAUCGACGACCGAAGCCCGGACGGAUCGUUCGCUCGAGGGGAUACCGCCGAUGCGGUCGAGGAUUACGACGACGCCAUCGGCGCGUUCUCAUGGGUACACGCGGCGCACUUGCAUCGCCGCUGGCAUAUUCAUCCCACCCAUCUUGAAACACGACCAAGGAGUCCGAUAUGCAUGUGAGUCAAUGGUGCGGAAACCCGAAGGUACAAGGAAGUUAACGGGCGGAAACCCUCUCGAGGGUUGCACCGGGCCCCCCCGAUCUUCCGAAGUGUUCGAGUUGGAGCAUGCAUGUCGGGACCCAAAGAUGGUGAACUAUGCCCGAAGCGAGGGCGGGCCGAGGAAACUUCGGUGGAGGCCCGGUUGAUACUAACGCAAAUCGCUCGCUUGACUUGGGUAUAGGGGCGAAAGACUAAUCAACCAUCUAGUAGCCGGUUUGUUCAAGUUUCCUCGUGAUAGCUGGAGCCCACGAUGAGUUCUAUCGGCAAAGCCAAUGAUUAGAGGCAUCGGGGGCGCAAUGCCCUCGACCUAUUCUCAAACUUUAAAUAGGUAGGACGGCGCGAUCGCUUUGUUGAGCCGUGGUGGAAUCGAGAGCUCCAAGGGGCCAUUUUGGUAAAGCGUAACUAGCGAUGUGGGAUGAACCGUGUCCCGUUACACGUGCCCAACUGCGCUGCUAGCCUUGACACCACAAAGGGUGUUGGUCGAUUAAGAAAGCAGACGGGCUGGUCAUGGAAGUCAAAAUCUACUAAGGAGUGUAACAACUCACCGGCCAAUCAACUAGUUCCAAAAUGGAUGAUGGUAAUCGGCCGCCGCCGAUCCACACCCGCCAUCGCGGCAAGCCAAGCCCCGGCGAGUAAGAGGGAGAUGGCGUGCCGCCGCAAAACCCCGUGGCGCGAAAUUCCGGCAGAGCGGCCAUCGGUGCAGAUCUUGGUGGUAGUAGCAAAUAUUCAAAUGAGAACUUUGAAGGCCAAAGAGGGGAAGGUUCCAUGUGAACGCACUUGCACAUAGGUUAGCCGAUCCUAAGGGACAGGGGAAGCCCGGUCCGAGAGUAACUCCGCAAGCUCCGAGACGCCGGCAAAUCGAAGAGUUAUCUUUUCGGUUUAACGGCCCGGCCACUGAAACGGCUUAGCCGAGGUAGGGUCCAGCGGUCGAAGAGCGCCACACGCCGCUGCGGGCAUCCGUGCACCCCCUCGCGCCUUUAAAAAAAUCCGGAGGGACCGAAAAGCCACCCACGCCUCGAUAGUACUCAUAACUGCAUCAGGUUCCAAGGUGAACAACCUCGCCCAUGGAGCAAUGUAGGCAAGGGGAAGUCGGCAAAAUGGAUCCGUAACUUCGAAAAGGAUUGACUCGAGGGCUGGGCACGGGUCCCAACCCCCAACCCGCCGGCCGUCGGUGGAUUGCUCGAAAGCCUUUCGCGGGCGAGAGCAGGUUGCCGGUGCCGCCGAGGGAUGGAGCUGGAACGCCCCUCUGGCCUUCCCCGCCGCCAAACAACCGAAUUAACCGGUACCUUACAAGGGAAUCCAUCGUUUAAUUAAAACAAAGCAUCAGCGAUGGUCCCCGAGAUGCUCACGCAAUGGAUUUCUACCCAAAGGUUCGAAUGUCAAAGUGAAGAAAUUCAACCAAGCAUGGGUAAACGGCGGGAGUAAUCUAUGACUCCCCAAGGUAGCCAAAUGUCUCAUUAUCUAAUUAGUGAUGCGAUGAAUGGAUUAACGAGAUUCCUACCGCCCCUCGCUUACUAUCCAAAUAAAACCACAACCAAGGGAACGGGUUUAGGCAGAAUCAACAGGGAAAGAAGACCCUGUUGAGCUUGACUCUAGUCCCACUUUUAUGAAAUGACUUGAGAGGUGUAGGAUAAGGGAGCCGGGUUCACCGCGAAGUGAAAUACCACUACUUUAACAUUAUUUUACUUAUUCCAUGAGUCGGAGGCGGGCCCGACCUCCUUUUGGACCCAAGGCCCGCGAGCGGGUCGAUCCAAAGGAAGACAUUGUCGUGAGGAGUUUGGCUGGGGCGGCACAUCUCGUUAAAAGAUAACGAGGGGUCCUAAGAUGAGCUCAAUGAGAACAAAAUUCUCAAAUAAAGGGUAAAGCUCGCUUUGAUUCUCAUUUCCGCAGACGAAUACAAACCAUGAAAGCAUGGCCUAUCGAUCCUUUAGACCUUCGAAAUUUGAAGCUAGAGGUGUCGGUGUUACCACAGGAUAGUCAUUUAUGGCAGCCAAGCCGCUCAUAGCGACGCUGUUUUUGAUCCUUCAUGUCGGCUUUUCCUAUCAUUGUGAAGCAGAAUUCACCAAGUGUUGGAUUGUUCACCCACCAAUAGGGAACGGAGCUAGGUUUAGACCAUCGUGAGACAGGUUAGUUUUAAUUCUAUUGAUGAUCGGUCAUAAAUAGUAAUUCAACCUAGUACAAGAGGAACCGAUGAUUCACAAAUUGGUCAUCGACUUGGUUGAAAAGUUAGUGGCGCCGGUUACCAUUCUAAGUUAGAAUUUAGCUAGCAAACGACGCCUCGGUUGCCGCUUGCCUCCCACCCACAAGAGGGGGCCUUUGGCCCCUUGGGCUCGCGGUCACCGGUGUAGCCCCCCUGGUGGUAUAGCCAUGGGUGGCCAUCGGAAGUGAAAUUCCACACGGACGAUGCGCCAAUCCUUUUACGGACGACUUUAAAUACGCCGAUGGGCAUUGUA